rnacentral:rRNA from 1 species
UACAGAGGUCUCAAGCGUUAUUCGGAUUCACUGGGCGUAAAGGGUGCGCAGGCGGCCGAGUGUGUGAGGCGUGAAAGCCCGGGGCUUAACCCCGGAAUUGCACCUCAAACUACACGGCUAGAGCAUUGGAGAGGGUAGCAGAAUUCAUGGUGUAGCAGUGAAAUGCGUAGAUAUCAUGAGGAAUACCAGAGGCGAAGGCGGCUACCUGGACAAUUGCUGGCGCUCAGGCACGAAAGCGUGGGGAGCAAAAGGG